rnacentral:lncRNA from 1 species
CCGCUCUGGGGGGUUUAUCAUCAGAAGGAGAGAGACCCGAGGGAGCCACCUGCCCACUCCAGAUGAGGUGCUCCGUGGAACACGAGGAGCACACGAAACCCGAUCAGCUUUGUGUGACUUCCGCGUGUGGGGUGGCACGCGUGUGCUUGCUAUUCAUUGUUUCUGCUGGGGGCAUUUUUAUCUUUUGAAAUUCUUUCUUCUGAACCUUUCGUGCCUACCAGAACCAGCCUGUCAGGAUGCGCCUGAUCUCCACAGCAGCCCCUCCAUCCGACUCUGAAGAAGCCGUCAGCUCACAGAAGAUUCCUUUUGUUUAAUGAGUAACAGCUACUGACUCACUCCAUGGCCCACCAGAAUGACAGACUCCUGUUCAAAAGCCUGAUCUGAAGUUGCUGCCAUGACACAAGCAAUGCCUGUGAAGUGCCUGCAGCCCACGCCUCUGAGACAGGCCAGGCGUGUGGUGGACACGCAGCUGCAGGCGCUUGCUCUCUGUCAUCACGAGAAAAAGUAUCCCUGCACCGGACAAGAAAGGACCUGCAGGCACACUCACAAUCAACUUCCUGAUUUCACAAUGAUGGUAGGGAGCCCUGUGGGCACUAGAAGCAGCGGGGAGGGGUUCUAGACCUUUGGUGCCCAAGAGACUUCCGUGCAUGGAAAAUGUUGACUUCUAGCUUCCAUCUGCAGCGAACUCUCCAUCGGGACAUGGGACCUGGCUGUACGAGUUAAUUCAAACUGAGCCACUUUCCAUUAGGGCACCAAAUGGAGUUAGCAAUCCAAGAUUAUUUUAUUUUCUGGGCUAUCCAGAUGACUUAAAGCCUCGCUGAAGUUCCCAUGAGAAGAGUUUAAACAACCCAAAGAAAGCACAUCAUGGUCGACUGCAGGGAACUGAAACUACAGAAAUGAACACUUCCAAUAAGAGGCAACUACUGUUCUCAAACGGCCCUAAAAGGCACCGAGACUUUCACCUUGUCACGAAGAUGCCCAGGGAGCCCACGGAGAGGUCAACAUGGCAAGCACUGGAGGUGGAAGGGGUCAUGGGGGUCUGGUCCUCCUGCCACAGUCAAGCUUUCAGAUGAUGCAGCCUGCUGACAUUGUGACUGAAGGACACCAAGCUGGAACUACCCAUCUAGGCCUCUCUGGACUCUUGGCCCACAGAAGCCAGGUGAAGCAGAAUCAGAGAAGGCUUGAAGCUCAGCCUCCCCAAGCUACGAAUGCAUGAUUGCACCAGCGCAAGACAGGAAUCCCCAGUCCCGGCUGCAGGGGCCAGGGCAGCUUGGACUCUCCACGGCUCUUCAGCUUGGCUUUCUGGGCAUUUCAAGACAGGUCAUGGAAGGUCCACUGGGAGCCGAGGAUGCUGUUCUUGCAGUAAAGGUCUCAGCUUCUGCUAUGCCAGUCAAUCGGGGUGAAGGAAGUGACUUUUCUUCAGAUGGAGAGGCCAAGAAUUUUAUGCAGAUAGCAACAAGGUCCCUGACACAGGGAAGCAAUAUCCCUGCACAGACCAGCUUAAGACAAGAUUAGUGUGGAGCACAGGAGGAUCAAGAGGAUCUGCACGGGGUGAGAUAAGGAAUCUGGACAGACCAGAAAAGAGGCGAUUCCCCAGACACCCAGUGAGAAGUGACAUUUGGGAGAUGAGGAUGGGCCAUUUACAUACAUCAUGAAUGGGAAUGCCUGUAUUGUUCAUGUAACUCGCAGGGAAAAUGUCAGAAAAUUCAUCCAAAUCUACAUUGUACACUUGAUGAGGCAGCCGAUUGGCUGAGAGGCUUGGGAAAAUCAGCCGGGUCUACCCAGAGCUUACGUAGCUCAGAUUGCGGGCACAUGGCUGUGGGGCACCCUAAUUCCUGAGGGUCCCCCCAACAUGGGCUGGCAAGGCGGGGAUUGCAAAAGUCUCCAGUUACCAGCACCCUGAACAUGCACCCUUUGAUUAAAUCACCCCACACCAAAAAAAAAAAAAAAAAAAAAAAA